rnacentral:rRNA from 1 species
AGAUUGAACGCUGGCGGCAUGCCUUACACAUGCAAGUCGAACGGCAGCACGGGAGCAAUCCUGGUGGCGAGUGGCGAACGGGUGAGUAAUACAUCGGAACGUGCCCAAUCGUGGGGGAUAACGCAGCGAAAGCUGUGCUAAUACCGCAUAAGAUCUACGGAUGAAAGCGAGGGGAUCGCAAGACCUUGCGCGAAUGGAGCGGCGAUGGCAGAUUAGGUAGUUGGUGAGGUAAGGCUCACAAGCCUUCGAUCUGUAGCUGGUCUGAGAGGACACCACGCCACGACGU